rnacentral:rRNA from 1 species
AUUGAACGCUGGCGGCAUGCCUUACACAUGCAAGUCGAACGGCAGCACGGGUGCUUGCACCUGGUGGCGAGUGGCGAACGGGUGAGUAAUACAUCGGAACGUACCUUAUCGUGGGGGAUAACGCAGCGAAAGCGGUGCUAAUACCGCGUACGCCCUGAGGGGGAAAGCGGGGGAUCGCAAGACCUCGCGCGAUUAGAGCGGCCGAUGCCUGAUUAGCUUGUUGGUGGGGUAAAAGCCCACCAAGGCGACGAUCAGUAGCUGGUCUGAGAGGACGAUCAGCCACACUGGGACUAGGACACGGCCCAGACUCCUACGGGAGGCAGCAGUGGGGAAUUUUGGACAAUGGGGGCAACCCUGAUCCAGCAAUGCCGCGUGAGUGAAGAAGGCCUUCGGGUUGUAAAGCUCUUUUGUCAGGGAAGAAACACCGGCUCUAACACAGUCCGGGAAUGACGGUACCUGAAGAAUAAGCACCGGCUAACUACGUGCCAGCAGCCGCAGUAA